UGGAGAAGGUGUUUCUCCAAGCAAUAUCUUACAUGUGCCAAACAAGUAGAAGGAGACUAUUAAUUCCUUUGUCUUGAAUCCGAUUCUUUUGGCAUUGCAACCCUAAACUGUGCUAAUAUUUUGUUCCACAGCAUCAUGCUGAUUAAUGUUUAGUUCAUCAGCUGUGAUGCCUUAAAUCCUCAGCAGAGCUAAUAUGCAGCUAGAUAUAAUUACAAAAAUCAUUAAGUGGCCAUGUUCAUCCAUUAGAAAAAUCCAAAUGCCACAGUUGGACAAUACCUUUAUCUGGACCAACUAAAUUUCACAAAAUACUGUGCAAGUCUUUUAGUGCUCCAGAACGCUCAUUUGGGCUGUAUGUUAAAUAAGUAGAGGAAAAGAUGGGCAUGAUGUUGGAAUGCAAAAGUCUGUCGUUCUUUACAGACUUUGCAAGUUUGUAAGAUAACAUGGGAGGUGUUACUUACACUGAAUUAGGUUAGUCUCAAUUAGGUACAAAACCUAGUAGAUUUCAGGUUGCACAAGGACUGCUGUUCUCACUACUUCUGUCUUCAACCAAACAGAGCACAGUAAUUCCUUUCUAAAUUUGUGGAUGUGUUGAGUCUGCAAAUUCAUUUUGCCACUCUUCUUUAUCUGUUUCAGUAGAACUUUGAUAACUCUUUCCUUUCCAAGAUCUAGCUCACAAUAGUCUUUAGAGUUCUGCAGAUAUCAGAUUGGUCCUCAGUUCCAGUUACUCCAAAAUUUGAUUUUAGCAUAUUGUCCAAAAUAUAUUAUUGAGAAUGAUUUAUAGGAGAAGUAAAGAAAUUUCAUGAUACUUCAGAGGAUGAUGUUAAAUCUCUUUGGAAAAUGAGAGAAAAGCCCAUUCCCACCGCUUCUUUCUUCCUUAUCAUAGUUUUUGGUGCUGCCAUUAGAUAAUGUACCAGAUCUUCAAACUGCACCAAAAUGCUUCCCUUGAUUAAGUGAUCUGAUCACAUGUCUUGACGCUUUCUGGGGAUAUUGCUUUGGCUGCCUUUGGGCAGAAAAUGUCAUUUAUAAAUAUUAAUAAGGUAAUAAAUAAGACCAAGAAUUCUGGGUGCAGCUUCUUCUAUUACAAGGCAGCCACCUUAGUCAAACUGAUAAAUACAUGGCUGUGAAGGCAGAAUCUCACUGAAUCACCAAUUAUUCAAUCAUUCGUGGUUUUCUGCUGACAGUGUUAUUUAUUUAUUAUAAGCAUCUAAUAAAAUUCUCAGGGUGGUUUACAAUAAAAUUCUGUAGAAAAUGCACUUUAAGCAAAAUAUUUAUAAAUAUGUGUAAUGCAAUAACUAAUAUGGCUCUUUAAAGCUGAAGCAGCAUAAACAAUAGCAAAGCUCAUAAAGGAUUAAAAAUGGGGGGGGGUUGCUUGGUCCCAUAACAAUGACGUUGGUGAGUUUCUCUUGGGAGAGCAUUUCAUAACUGAGGCACUACCCCUGAGAUUCACUCUCAGUGGUAGCCCCCUGCCUUAUCUCAGAUGGCAGGGCCAGCUGUAGAAGGUCUUAAGCUUCAGGAAGAUACAUAUGGAAACAAAUGCUGCAUCAAAUAUUGUAGUCCUAAACUGCAAAGGGCUAUAAAGUUCAAAACCAAUACUUUGGAUUGUCCUGGAAAUGAACUUGGUACUAAGAUGUCAUCUGAAUUCCCCAAACCAUCCUACUGUGCUGUCACCCAAACAUAUGCAACGUGGCAGCUUUGUAUGAUGCCACUACGCACCAAAAUAUUGACAGUGCUGCUGCAAGCAAAACCACAGAUCCUGGUGAUUCCAUCUUGUCCUUUAUUGCCAAUGAAAACAUGAGACCAGACCAUCCUGACUGUAGACAUUGGUCAUGUCUACAGUGACACAAGACCAGACAGACAGUUAGCCUGUCUGUCCAAUUUUUACAUCUUUGUUAGUGGAGGAAGUCUUAAGGCUAGGUCCAGGAAUAAUUUCACAGGGUUUUUGCAUGGCAUGAACAGCAUCUUCUUUUCGAAGAGUUAGCACGCAUUCUGUGGUGUCGCUUAGCCUGCCUCUCAAAUUUCUCUUUCCCUUGCUGGAGCCUUGCAUGCCUGCUUCUUUAGUAUGGAUUACAAAUACGUGCCUAUUGCUGAGUUCAGCAGUUGAUUCUUUUUGGCUUCCAUAUUUAUGCGCCUUUAUCUUAUAAUAUACCUCUGUGGAUGGAGAAGGAUCUAGCCUAUGCAUUAACAUAGGAAUCUGACAGAUUUGAGCCUUAUGAAGUGUAAGCAAGCUAGACACUUGAGCUCCCACACCCAGCUGAUUUAGAUAGGGGAUCUUCUGGUUGCUCAGAAACAGGUGCCUUGUCAAUAUAGUUGUGCAUUGUUAGAAACAUAUUUUCUUCUGUUCCAUGUGAAAUUCAAUUUCUCCUUCUCCUGUCUCCGACCUUUGGGCUAGAACUACUUCUAGAUUGUCACUAUUUUGUAGAAUGAAUUCAUCCAUAUACUGGCAAAUUUAGGUUGGUCAAUAAACAACAGACAUUGUUUAAGAGCCACACAAACUGUAAAAAUCAAAUCAGGAUGCAAGCUCAAUUAACAGGUAGUCUAUAUCAAGUAUAACACAGACAUUGCAGAUUGUUUGUUUUUAAGAAUCUGUUUUAGGUAGAAUGAUAGAGCAAUUCUUUCUAUUACAGCUAAUGGGUUUUAGGUAGAGUUUGCUUUCUGGGGUACUAUUGCAGAAUUUGCUGUAAAACAAUGGAGUCUCGCGGAACCCCGUCUUGUGAGUUAACUUGGCAACUUCAUAUUCUGUUACUCCUUGGAAGUAACUAAGAACUUCCUGGCCAAUAUAUAGCGAACAUCCAUAUUUGCUACUCCAUAGAUACAAUUGGAAUUUAGAAUAAAGCUUCCCAUUGACUUUUGAAGUAAGGAUGUAUUAAGGGAAUUAACAUGUCUUACUGUACAUACACUGCUUCUGUACUUUCACUGCAAAGCAGUCUAUAAAUCUGCAAAAAAAGUCACUUAAAGACUGUGUUAAGUAUUAAGCAGUAUAAAAAUAUCUGAAAUGAAAUUAAAAAUAAAUUUCAGUAAGAGAUUCCAUUGGAAACAUCUCAAAUUUCAAAGUUCAGUGACUACUGUAAGCAUAUACAGGAACAUCCAAGUGCAUUAUGAGGAACCUCCAGUCAGAAUUGCUUUCUUUAUUAUAUUUAUUCUACAGGAAUUUUUGGGACCAGUCAAGUAAAUUAGAGCCCAAAUACUUUCCUGUCAAUGCCUUAUUUUAAGUGGACUGGAACUCAUUUUGGUACCUCCUUGAAUUAAUAUAAGGCUGACUGCAUGAAACCAGGCAUUUGAGAUUAAUUUCUUCAUUGCAAAUAUAUGGGAGAACAAUUUCUUAAAGGGCAGGCAUUUAAUGGAAUUUUAAUCUAAACAACUUCAUAGAAGGAUGAUUUUUUUCAUCUGUUCCAUUCAACAAACUUUAAUGUACAUGUCAUAUUUUAUAAUUGCCACUUUUCUGAAUUUUCUCACAAUCUUUAAUAAGCAAUUUCUAAUUCUUGCUAUUUCAUAGAAGCAAGACCAACCAUUCCCUCUAAAACCUAAAUCACAAUUUUUCAACACCUGGGAGCUUUAAAAAGAAGAAAAAAGAGUGUUUCCCCUCCUGCUUAUUUUCUCUUCUGUGACAUUGACCAACCUUAAUACUUGUGCUCCUUCAGGAAAAAACACAUGCAAACUCAUGCACUGAUUGGAAAAAAAGGCAAUGUCUGUCUGUGAGGUUUCAGAUAUAUCUGGAAUUGUUUUUGCUUGUUUAAGUGCUGUCACAGCUCCCACAAUUUAGAAGCUUAAUAUAUGUGUUAUCUUGGCAAGCAGAGAAGGCAAUCCUAUCUCCUAAUGUUGAUGGUUUGGGGAUAGGGUACAAUAUUGCACAGGACUGCUGCCUGUGCCCAGGAAGAUUGAAAUUCCUCACUGACAGUAACAAACAAAUCUGAAACAGAACAGCUGGCAAGGUUUGAGAUGUGGCAACGAACCUGCUGUUCCCCUCCUCACUAUAACCCCACUUAGAAUAGCUCUGUUACCCAUUUUCUUACUUCAUCAUUAAGACACAACAAAUAUCAUAGGAAUCAAAAAACAGGUUUACCUGGCUAUUCAAUUUUCCCCAUCAAAUUACAGUGAGAUUCAUGUGAAGUUAGACUGUCUAUAAAGACAUCCAAUGAGUGAUGGAUUCUGACACCAUCAUCCUUUUGAUGGAUUGGAAAAUCUUCUUUGCUAAACUAGGAAAGUAUGGUGUGGGUGGGUGGUUUUUUUUUAAUAACCCAGGAAACUUGUGAUUUGCCACAACAACUCCAAUACAAACAAAUAAGACAAGGAGGUUGGGGGGUGCUGUUCCCCCCACCCCUAAAUUACUAUUUGAAAAUCAUGCAUAGAAUUUACAGGGGGAAGUAGUGUUUUGUAUAGCACCAUAAAAUGUAUGUCUGUUACUUUAUGCAUUCUUCUGACAUCAAAGAGCAGCGAUGCUUAAGCUCUCUUUGAAAACUGCAUGGCUAGCUUAUGCAGUAACUUGAUGUGAUAAGAUACUGUGUUGUUUUCUAAGACUAUAAUGUGUAGUUUGGACAUGUAGCUAGAAUGAGGGUUUAAGAGUUGUGGGCAUGCUGCUGGCUACCUGAAGUAUCAAGCAUUCCCAGGUUCCUUUUAACCUGGAUUUGCAACAACCACAUCACCGAGAACACCUAGAGAGGCUGAUGGAAAUUCACAAGAGGGAGUUAUGAAAAAGCAUGCAUUAUUUUGCAAUUUGCUUUUAGUCCCUAAAUUCUAGUUCUUUUUAUGUCUGAACUAUAAGCCUAAGAAAAACACAGUGAAUAUUUUAUUUACUUGAGACAAGCCUUACAGAGUCUCCAAGCAGGAGUCAUUUGCAUUGCUUAGACCUGUUGCAUAGAUCUGUUUUCUAGUGCACACGAUAAAUGAAAUUUGCCACUGUAAAAUAUUUUUAAUUACCUCUUUUUUAUUUGAGCAAUCAAUGUGCUGUGAUUGGGGGGGAAAUCGAAACACAAGGCACUUGCUGCAUGCUUAUAUAACAUUAGUUUUGUUAUGAUAUAACUUUUAUGAAUGCCUAUGCACUGUAAAUGCUUUAAUACUAGAAUACUGAAUGUUUUGUACCCUUUUUUUGUAAUUAUGCUCUAUUUAUUGCAUGGUUCUUUUCAUGGUUCUGUUGUCCCCAUAAAGUACAAUCAAGGAA